rnacentral:rRNA from 1 species
AGCAGAGACCAAACUUCCUUGUCAAAGCCUAAUCUCGUCAGAUCUCAGAAGCUAAACAGGGCUGGGCCUGGUCAGGACUUGGAUGGGAAGCACAUACAAUACUAGGUGCCACAGUGG